rnacentral:rRNA from 1 species
GACGAACCGUGCGAACGUUAUUCGGAAUCACUGGGCUUAAAGCGCGUGUAGGCGGAUGGCCACGUCGGGCGCUGAAAUCCCCCGGCUCAACCGGGGAACGGGCACCGAUACGGGUCAUCUGGAGGGAGGUAGGGGGGGCUGGAACUUCCGGUGGAGCGGUGAAAUGCGUUGAGAUCGGAAGGAACGCCCGUGGCGAAAGCGAGCCCCUGGACCUUUUCUGACGCUGAGACGCGAAAGCUAGGGGAGCGAACGGG